rnacentral:rRNA from 1 species
AUUGAACGCUGGCGGCAGGCUUAACACAUGCAAGUCGAGCGGGGUGAUGGUGCUUGCACUAUCACUUAGCGGCGGACGGGUGAGUAAUGCUUAGGAAUCUGCCUAUUAGUGGGGGACAACAUCUCGAAAGGGAUGCUAAUACCGCAUACGUCCUACGGGAGAAAGCAGGGGAUCACUUGUGACCUUGCGCUAAUAGAUGAGCCGAAGUCGGAUUAGCUAGUUGGUGGGGUAAAGGCCUACCGAGGCGACGAUCUGUAGCGGGUCUGAGAGGAUGAUCCGCCACACUGGGACUGAGACACGGCCCAGACUCCUACGGGAGGCAGCAGUGGGGAAUAUUGGACAAUGGGGGGAACCCUGAUCCAGCCAUGCCGCGUGUGUGAAGAAGGCCUUAUGGUUGUAAAGCACUUUAAGCGAGGAGGAGGCUCUUUUGGUUAAUACCCAAGAUGAGUGGACGUUACUCGCAGAAUAAGCACGGCUAACUCUGUGCCAGCCGCCGCAGUAA